rnacentral:rRNA from 1 species
UACGAAGGGGGCUAGCGUUGUUCGGAAUUACUGGGCGUAAAGCGCGUGUAGGCGGGUCUUUUAGUCAGGGGGGAAAUGCCAAGGCUCAACCUUGGAACUGCCUUUGAUACUGGAGACCUUGAGUCCGGGAGAGGUGAGUGGAAUUGCGAGUGUAGAGGUGAAAUUCGUAGAUAUUCGCAAGAACACCAGUGGCGAAGGCGGCUCACUGGCCCGGAACUGACGCUGAGACGCGAAAGCGUGGGGAGCAAACAGG